rnacentral:rRNA from 1 species
UACGUAGGGCGCGAGCGUUGUCCGGAAUUAUUGGGCGUAAAGAGCUCGUAGGCGGUUCGUUAUGUCGGAUGUGAAAGCCCUUGGCUUAACCGAGGAAGUGCAUCCGAAACUGGCGAGCUAGAGUACUAAAGAGGAUCGCGGAAUUCCCGGUGUAGAGGUGAAAUUCGUAGAUAUCGGGAGGAACACCGGUGGCGAAGGCGGCGAUCUGGGUAGAUACUGACGCUGAGGUGCGAAAGCGUGGGGAGCAAACAGG